GUCACUGACCUCCGGCUAAAGCGCGGAGGCUUGGAAGAGGAAGACUCACCACCUUCUGAAUUCAGGACGAAACCAGUGUCUAGCCAAUUGCUGAACUAUCUGGGAGUGGUAUCCCAAAAGACGUUAAGAAUGCCUCCCUAGUUUUUCACCUCUGUGGUAGUCAGUGGCGAAGGGAAAUAUAUACCUAGCAAUAGG
rnacentral:sRNA from 1 species